UACUUACUAGAUUUGUCCUGAGCAUCUCUUUUGCACGGUCACAAUUCGACCUCAAACCUAUGAUGUCAAAAAUCACAUGUUUUUCUGUUCCACUGAAUUUUGGCCAGGUAAUUUUUACGCCACACUGAGUCUCUAUAUUUCGGAAAUUAUCACUCCCUUGUUUUCGUAUCAGUAAACGAACAAAUUCCUGAGGAACUGGUUCCUUUAUGUUAACCGUUGCGUAAUUAUC